CAUAGUGUAGAGAACCCUGGGCCUGGAGUCAAAAAAACCUGAGUUCAAAUCCUGCUUCAGACAGCUACUAGAUGUAUGAUCAUUAGGAUCAAUAAGACAUAACAGAACCACUCUCACCUUCUGUCUAAUGAAAUUUCUUCCAUAGGGACACAAUCUCCCCAUAUGUGAAUGGCUAGUUGUCUAAGUUGUCAUGAAACUAAUAGUAGAAUGGCAUGUGCUGCAGGCUGAGAACUGACAAAGGUGGAUUUCUGUGCCUAGGAAGAGUUUUGAGGAUGACCUUGGACACAGCUUAGGAGAGGAGCAAGAGAUGCCCCAGGCUGUGUCACAUCUCCGUCAAACUCCAUCGAGUGAACACCUACAAAGACAGAGAGAUUGUGUUUAAAAAUAACAGUCAUGACCCACCAAAACAACUGUGUCUCUCCACGUCCAGAAUUCUACCUUGGAAAAAGAUCUGAAUAAAAAUCCAAUUCAGAAAGGCAAGGAAAGAUUUGCCUAAA